GCCUGGGUGGCUCAGUCGGUUAAGCGUCCGACUUUGGCUCAGGUCAUGAUCUCACGGUUCGUGGGUUCGAGCCCCGCGUCGGGCU
rnacentral:tRNA from 1 species